rnacentral:rRNA from 1 species
CGCGUAGGUGGUUUGUUAAGUUGGAUGUGAAAGCCCCGGGCUCAACCUGGGAACUGCAUCCAAAACUGGCAAGCUAGAGUACGGUAGAGGGUGGUGGAAUUUCCUGUGUAGCGGUGAAAUGCGUAGAUAUAGGAAGGAACACCAGUGGCGAAGGCGGGUCUCUGGGCCAUUACUGACGCUGAGGAGCGAAAGCUAGGGGAGCAAACA